rnacentral:rRNA from 1 species
UACAGAGGGUGCGAGCGUUAUUCGGAAUUACUGGGCGUAAAGCGCGCGUAGACGGCUAUUUAAGUCGGGUGUGAAAGCCCCGGGCUCAACCUGGGAAUUGCAUUCGAGACUGAAUAGCUAGGGUACGGUAGAGGGAAGCGGAAUUUCCGGUGUAGCGGUGAAAUGCGUAGAUAUCGGAAGGAACACCAGUGGCGAAAGCGGCUUCCUGGACCAGUACCGACGUUCAGGCACGAAAGCGUGGGGAGCAAACAGG